UACGAAGGGGGGCUAGCGUUGCUCGGAAUUACUGGGCGUAAAGGGCGCGUAGGCGGACAGUUUAGUCAGAGGUGAAAGCCCAGGGCUCAACCUUGGAAUUGCCUUUGAUACUGGCUGUCUUGAGUUCGGGAGAGGUGAGUGGAACUCCGAGUGUAGAGGUGAAAUUCGUAGAUAUUCGCAAGAACACCAGUGGCGAAGGCGGCUGUCUGGUCCGGUUCUGGACGCUGAGGCGCGAAAGCGUGGGGAGCAAACAGG
rnacentral:rRNA from 1 species